UACGGGGGGAGCAAGCGUUGUUCGGAUUUACUGGGCGUAAAGGGCGCGUAGGCGGCGCAACAAGUCACUUGUGAAAUCUCCGGGCUUAACCCGGAGCGGUCAAGUGAUACUGUCGUGCUAGAGUGCGGAAGGGGCUACUGGAAUUCUCGGUGUAGCGGUGAAAUGCGUAGAUAUCGAGAGGAACACCUGCGGCGAAGGCGGCUCACUGGUCCGGUACUGACGCUGGAGGUGCGAAAGCGUGGGGAGCAAACAGG
rnacentral:rRNA from 1 species